GGCAGGAGAAUAGCUUUAACCCGGGAGGUGGAGGUUACAGUGAGCUGAGAUCACGCCACUGCACUCCGGCCUGGGCAACAGCAAGGCUCCGUCUCCAAACACACACACAACACAACACCCAAAAUGGAACAGAUGCAGUUCUGUGUUCCAGCGGGAUAAAUUUGUGAUGCCUGUUCAAAACUCAAGAAGCCACCACCCUGAUGCUCAUCAAACCCUGGAGAAAUUCCGUUUUUAGAGUGUCAGAAGCCCUCAUGAAUAACCUUCCAGUCACUGAAGGAGGUCCUCACUCAGCAAGCCCCGGUCUCCUUUACUCUCCUGCACUCGUGCCUCGCAGAUGGCCUCAUGCGCGGACUGGCGGUCCAGCCUCCCGGGGACAGGGCCUGGGCGCACCCCGCGCCGCCGUUGGCCACUGAGGCCCGGGUCCUCGAGGCGCCGGGCUAGGCAGAGCCUCCCGGGGCAGCGCCAGGGGAUCUGGGCGGGGUGCCUGCGCCGGAAGGGCCUCAAAGCUGCAGGGCUGGACGGCGCUAGGGGGCGCAAGGCACGGAGCCCAGGCGGAGGGGACAGCUAGCGGCUCACCGGGAUGGGCGGGCCCCGGCUCCCAGCUCCAAAUACGCGGCCUCUGUGGGAGCUUGUCUCCAGGCGCCCAUCAGUCUUCCCUUCACUCGGCGCUACCUUGGCGGCCGCGCCCAUGCUGUCCCCGCCCCAACUAGUAGUCAUGAUGAGGGGUCGCGGGCCUCGCUGGAGAUGCUCACUGCGAGGACUUCCCGCCUGCGGGCUCUCUGCGCGCCGUCACUGACUGCCAGUCUGCGGGCGGCCGGCCUCACCACUCCAGGCUUCACGGGGCUGGGGCGCCGCACCAUCGAGUCGAACCGAGUCCUCCUGCUUUCCUAGAAAAGCCGUGGGGAGAGAGGGGGAACACUUCUGGCCCACGUGAGCCACCGUCGUGCGUGACGUCUCAGGGGCAUCUACCCGGAGUCACGGAGCCGACAAAAGGGAAAAGGCUGGUCCCUGUCCAGGAAGAGCUCAGCCUAGUGGAGCAGGCGACAAGUUAGAGUUGCUGCCUUGCCAUGGCCGUGGCCCGUGGAGGCACUAGACCGUCACCAGGAGUCCGUCAGGAAAGACGGGCAGAUACGUGAGGCCUGAACAGGAAGGACUUGGGAGACACAAGACUGUACCGCCGAGACCCCUUUCGAGUCGGGCUCACCGGGAUUUGAUUUCCCCCUUGACAGGGAACAUCUCGUGGAAUGGCCACAGGGCAAGAGGGCGGUGCCUGCAUUCUUGGGGAACUGCAGAGAGUUCAUGGGUAAAUAAUAGGAAGGAAAAGUGCUGGCAAUGCUCUGUCCUCAGAACAGUGAUGGAGAGAUGUGGACUCAUUGGAGAACCACGUGGGAGGCACAAGUAGCAUGGGGAACUCUGGAAACAAAGCAGUGUGGGGAGAAGGAUGCUGGUUUCUGACUUCAGCAACUAAGAAGAUAGUAGACCACAAGACAUUUGGGACUGGAGGCUUCUGAAAAGCUUCCAAGAGAUGAUGCAUGCAAAAGAGCUCUGCGUGCAGAAGAUCACCAAACAUGAGGCAUUAUUAAGGGUAAACCAACCAAGUUCUAUUUACAAUCGCCAAAUGUCUUCAAAGAAGGGCAGCUACCCGACGAGGAGAAUUCCCUACUCUCCCUGCAGAGGAUCUCCAGGUCUGCAAAGCUGGCGGGGCUAGGAAUGAAGUUUGCUGGUAGGAAGUGGGGAAUGUUAAAUUCCUCUGGGUUAUAGAGGGGGAGAAUUUGGAGUUCUGGGAGGGAAGGUGAUGAGAAGAAGGGAUGGAAGGGUGAGAAGAAGGGGAGCCAGCACGAUGGUACAAAGGUGGGAGUGAACCCAAGGGCUAGAUUAGGCCUGCAGAACUUAACCUACUUUACUUGGUUUUAGUCACUUACUUCUUGUUGAUCUUAAAACCUAUAUAGCUGCUGGGAUCAGUGGCUCACAUCUGUAAUCCCAGCCCUUUGGGAGGCCGAGGCUGGAGGAUCACUUGAGCCCAGGAGUUCAAGAACAGCCUAGG